rnacentral:rRNA from 1 species
GAUGAACGCUGACAGAAUGCUUAACACAUGCAAGUCUACUUGAACUUCGGUUUGGGUGGCGGACGGGUGAGUAACGCGUAAAGAACUUGCCCCACAGAUAGGGACAACAUUUGGAAACGAAUGCUAAUACCUGAUAUUAUGAUUUUAGGGCAUCCUAGAAUUAUGAAAGCUAUAUGCACUGUGAGAGAGCUUUGCGUCCCAUUAGCUAGUUGGAGAGGUAACGGCUCACCAAGGCGAUGAUGGGUAGCCGGCCUGAGAGGGUGAUCGGCCACAAGGGGACUGAGACACGGCCCUUACUCCUACGGGAGGCAGCAGUGGGGAAUAUUGGACAAUGGACCAAGAGUCUGAUCCAGCAAUUCUGUGUGCACGAUGAAGUUUUUCGGAAUGUAAAGUGCUUUCAGUUGGGAAGAAAAAAAUGACGGUACCAACAGAAGAAGUGACGGCUAAAUACGUG